GACGAACGCUGGCGGCGUGCCUAAUACAUGCAAGUAGAACGCACAGUUUAUACCGUAGCUUGCUACACCAUAGACUGUGAGUUGCGAACGGGUGAGUAACGCGUAGGUAACCUGCCUGGUAGCGGGGGAUAACUAUUGGAAACGAUAGCUAAUACCGCAUAAUAUUAAUUAUUGCAUGAUAAUUAAUUUAAAGGUGCAAUUGCACCACUACCAGAUGGACCUGCGUUGUAUUAGCUAGUAGGUGAGGUAACGGCUCACCUAGGCGACGAUACAUAGCCGACCUGAGAGGGUGAUCGGCCACCCUGGGACUGAGACACGGCCCAGACUCCUACGGGAGGCAGCAGUAGGGAAUCUUCGGCAAUGGACGAAAGUCUGACCGAGCAACGCCGCGUGAGUGAAGAAGGUUUUCGGAUCGUAAAGCUCUGUUGUAAGAGAAGAACGGGUGUGAGAGUGGAAAGUUCACACUGUGACGGUAUCUUACCAGAAAGGGACGGCUAACUACGUG
rnacentral:rRNA from 1 species